rnacentral:rRNA from 1 species
UAAUACAUGCAAGUCGAGCGGACAGAAGGGAGCUUGCUCCCGGAUGUUAGCGGCGGACGGGUGAGUAACACGUGGGUAACCUGCCUGUAAGACUGGGAUAACUCCGGGAAACCGGAGCUAAUACCGGAUAGUUCCUUGAACCGCAUGGUUCAAGGAUGAAAGACGGUUUCGGCUGUCACUUACAGAUGGACCCGCGGCGCAUUAGCUAGUUGGUGGGGUAAUGGCUCACCAAGGCGACGAUGCGUAGCCGACCUGAGAGGGUGAUCGGCCACACUGGGACUGAGACACGGCCCAGACUCCUACGGGAGGCAGCAGUAGGGAAUCUUCCGCAAUGGACGAAAGUCUGACGGAGCAACGCCGCGUGAGUGAUGAAGGUUUUCGGAUCGUAAAGCUCUGUUGUUAGGGAAGAACAAGUGCGAGAGUAACUGCUCGCACCUUGACGGUACCUAACCAGAAAGCCACGGCUAACUACGUGCCAGCAGCCGCGGUAAUACGUAGGUGGCAAGCGUUGUCCGGAAUUAUUGGGCGUAAAGGGCUCGCAGGCGGUUUCUUAAGUCUGAUGUGAAAGCCCCCGGCUCAACCGGGGAGGGUCAUUGGAAACUGGGAAACUUGAGUGCAGAAGAGGAGAGUGGAAUUCCACGUGUAGCGGUGAAAUGCGUAGAGAUGUGGAGGAACACCAGUGGCGAAGGCGACUCUCUGGUCUGUAACUGACGCUGAGGAGCGAAAGCGUGGGGAGCGAACAGGAUUAGAUACCCUGGUAGUCCACGCCGUAAACGAUGAGUGCUAAGUGUUAGGGGGUUUCCGCCCCUUAGUGCUGCAGCUAACGCAUUAAGCACUCCGCCUGGGGAGUACGGUCGCAAGACUGAAACUCAAAGGAAUUGACGGGGGCCCGCACAAGCGGUGGAGCAUGUGGUUUAAUUCGAAGCAACGCGAAGAACCUUACCAGGUCUUGACAUCCUCUGACAACCCUAGAGAUAGGGCUUUCCCUUCGGGGACAGAGUGACAGGUGGUGCAUGGUUGUCGUCAGCUCGUGUCGUGAGAUGUUGGGUUAAGUCCCGCAACGAGCGCAACCCUUGAUCUUAGUUGCCAGCAUUCAGUUGGGCACUCUAAGGUGACUGCCGGUGACAAACCGGAGGAAGGUGGGGAUGACGUCAAAUCAUCAUGCCCCUUAUGACCUGGGCUACACACGUGCUACAAUGGACAGAACAAAGGGCUGCAAGACCGCAAGGUUUAGCCAAUCCCAUAAAUCUGUUCUCAGUUCGGAUCGCAGUCUGCAACUCGACUGCGUGAAGCUGGAAUCGCUAGUAAUCGCGGAUCACAUGCCGCGGGUGUGAUAUCCGUUCCCGGGCCUUGUACAACACCGGCCCGUCACACCGACGAGAGUUUGCACACCCGAAGUC